rnacentral:tRNA from 1 species
AGGGGAUUUGGCUUUUAACCUUCUGAUUUGAAACCAGAAAAAGGACGUUCAACUCGUCCAUCUCCUU